rnacentral:rRNA from 1 species
UACGUAGGGUGCGAGCGUUAAUCGGAAUUACUGGGCGUAAAGUGUGCGCAGGCGGCUUUGCAAGUCGAGUGUGAAAUCCCCGAGCUUAACUUGGGAAUUGCGCUCGAAACUACGGAGCUGGAGUGUGGCAGAGGAAGGUGGAAUUCCACGUGUAGCGGUGAAAUGCGUAGAGAUGUGGAGGAACACCGAUGGCGAAGGCAGCCUUCUGGGCCAACACUGACGCUCAUGCACGAAAGCGUGGGGAGCAAACAGG